GGGAAAAAAAGCUGUAAAAGGUUUCUGGGCUCCUAAAUUUCACAUGAUAGAGCAUGUUAACAUAAAAUCAUACAAUUAUUAAGGUUGGAAAAGACCUGUACGAUCACGGAGUCCAACAUGUGACCAUCCAGACUUUUGUCUGAAAUCGACACCAACUCAUUCCUCAUCCCAGCCCAGGCCUCCAGCAGCUUGUGAAAUUUGUGGCCCAAACUCCUCCUGGCAUAGAGUAGGGGUGGUGCCAAUUCUUUCUUCAAAUGGAUUGACGACCAGCUUUCCAAAAGGAAGAGCAGCACCUGACAGCAGCUUCUGAGGUCUGGACUGAGCAUGGCAGCUGGAAGGACCCUGAAAGCAGUAAAGGUGCCACCAACUUUGGUGAAUGUCAGUAUCCUCUUUGAAGGUCACCAGGACCAUUUGGGAAUUCUGGACAAUUAGCACACCAAGCAACAUUUACUAUGUACAGCUGCAAAAUGUAAGUCUCAGAAUUCCUGUGUUAUCACUGGAAAUGAAGCUAUUUAUAGAGAGAUGUCCUGGUGGAUACAAACAUUUCUGAGAAAUAGCAGAAAGAAGAUAAGGUAUUAACACUCUUGCAACUAAUCACAUUGAUAGGUUCAUGGGGUAUGCUUUCAUGAUCUGUGCUCAUGGAAAGAUAGGAUGAACUGGCAUGUCUGAGUGCCUUCCUGCCAGAGGGAUAUCAUACCAGUUAGUUUGAAACCCUUACAUUAAAAAGUAUAGUUACUUCAACGAUCCCAUUUUAUUCCUAGCAUGGGUUAAAACAUUUAAAGCUACACUUAACUGUGGCAAAUAUCGUGUGUAAUGCAGGCCAUGAUCUCUGUGCAAACUAAUGCAGGUCAGUUCGAAAGCAAUGUUAUUAAAAAAGCUCUGAAAAACAAAAAUCCAACCUAUGCAGAAGGUCACUUUAGGAAUCAUAUUCAUAAGCAGCACUGCAGUGAACUCAGGUACCUGGAUGAGACAUAGCAGUGUUUCAAAGUUAGCAAAUAAAAAAUAAUUAUUUGGGAGAAAA